UACGUAGGGGGCGAGCGUUGGCCGGAUUUAUUGGGCGUAAAGAGCGUGUAGGCGGCCAGGUAGGUCUGCUGUGAAAACUCGAGGCUCAACCUCGAGACGUCGGCGGAAACCAUCUGGCUAGAGUCCGGAAGAGGAGAGUGGAAUUCCUGGUGUAGCGGUGAAAUGCGCAGAUAUCAGGAAGAACACCCGUGGCGAAGGCGGCUCUCUGGGACGGUACUGACGCUGAGACGCGAAAGCGUGGGGAGCGAACAGG
rnacentral:rRNA from 1 species